GGGAGAGGGAGGGGGCCGGCCGCAGGGUGACGGGUGGCAGCCUGGGGCUGUGCAGAUGUGGGUGGCUGAGAAGGGCACUAGGGUGGGGGUGGCUGGAGGAAUUUUAAGUGCUGUGAUGAAAUGGGCACCCUUCUCUGCCCUCCAUCGCCAAGCCCUACACCUCUGCGAAGACUGUGACACAUAAAGUCCUGUGUCAACGGUUGAUCUGUGCCCGCAGAGAGAGCCUGCUCCAGCCUCUUUGCUACAGCCUUGAGUCUUCUGCUGUGAUAGGAUGCUAGAGAGGAAAAUUUGGAAUUAGCUUUUAAAAGGAAGAGAAAUGACGGUGUAACCAUCUGCCAAAUACAUGGAAACAACAACAACAAAAACCUCAUCAUUCACCUGGCCUGGCAAAUAGGAGGAGAAAUUUCUUCCAGAGACAUAAGCAGGAGGAAGCUGGAGCUCUCUCCUGAGUGAUUGUCAGUUGCAGAGGAGGUGAAUAUCACAGGACAAGCAAGCGUGGGGGAGAAGACUGCCUAGACAUUCUAAAG
rnacentral:lncRNA from 1 species